AAAACUUUACACUCACUUUCGGUCAUAUCAGCAGCAUGUAAAGUUAAACCUUCUAAAAAAUGUACAAAGGAAAACUAAAUGUAGUAGCUACAAGACUAUCUGAAAAAACAGAACACAACAAAGAUCCACACUACUAUGUAUCCAUUCCUUGUGCGAUUCCUGUCCCUGUAAAAUACUACAAAUACUACAGAUCAGCAACAAACUUUUGGGACUCAAAGAUACAGGAAGAAGAUAAAUUUGGGAUUUAAGAUAUGAAUCUCAUUUCGAUAAACAAAUGAUUUCGACAUAACAAAAGUGAAAGAUAAAAACAUUUCAACUGCCGUGUUCAACACAUAUGACAGAUCUCUUAAUCAGGAAAGAAGCAACACGAGUGAGCAAGAGAUUUGCCUACCGGAUUAACUACAUACUAAAUGAGAAACAAGUGAAUGGAUGGAUGUUGCAGUAAUCAACAAUCCUAAUUCAGAUUUCAGAGGAGGUAUGGACUCAUACCUCUUUGAGAAGCACCGCUCGCGUUGGAUAAACCCGCCCGGCCGGCAGAGAUGACGCAUGCGGCCUAGCGUGAUAGGGGCGCCGCCUAGGGAUGAGGGACCACCGCCGCUGUCGGUCUGGGAAGGGGCACACCAUGCGCCUGAUGCGCCCUGCUGCAGGACUCUUGAGGCGCCAUCGAGAACUGGAUCCGGAUCCACGCGGGAGGAGGGUGCCUGCCACUGCCACCAUUCGGUGGGAGAGGAGAGACAGCUUGCUUCCACCGCCGCCAUUGAGGAAGAAGGCGGGGAAUAGUGGUCGUCGUCGGAAUGGAAGGGAGAGGAGCGCUGUCGUCGGGAGAGAGAUGGCCACCACAGCCGCGUCGGAAUAGGGCAGGGCGGCGCGGUCAAUGAUUUGGGGGAGAAGGGUCGCCGCGGAGUCGUGUGGCCGGUAGGAG
rnacentral:lncRNA from 1 species